rnacentral:rRNA from 1 species
UACGGAGGGUGCAAGCGUUAAUCGGAAUUACUGGGCGUAAAGCGUGCGUAGGCGGUUCGUUAAGUCUGUUGUGAAAGCCCCGGGCUCAACCUGGGAAUUGCGAUGGAGACUGCAAGGCUAGAAUCUGGCAGAGGGGGGUAGAAUUCCACGUGUAGCAGUGAAAUGCGUAGAGAUGUGGAGGAACACCGAUGGCGAAGGCAGCCCCCUGGGUCAAGAUUGACGCUCAUGCACGAAAGCGUGGGGAGCAAACAGG